GUGACAGCCGCCGCGGUAAUACGAAGGGGGCUAGCGUUGUUCGGAAUUACUGGGCGUAAAGCGCGCGCAGGCGGUUUUUCAAGUCAGUGGUGAAAGCCCGGAGCUCAACUCCGGAAUUGCCAUUGAGACUGUGAAACUUGAGGACGAGAGAGGUGAGUGGAAUUCCCAGUGUAGAGGUGAAAUUCGUAGAUAUUGAGAAGAACACCAGUGGCGAAGGCGGCUCACUGGCUCGUUUCUGACGCUCAGGCGCGACAGCGUGGGGAUCAAACAGGAUUAGAAACCCGUGUAGUCC
rnacentral:rRNA from 1 species